rnacentral:lncRNA from 1 species
AGUGAUGGAGAAGACAACACUAACCAAGAAACCUCAAGAAUCUUUUCAUCACCAAAACUGUCCCAUAACUAUAACUACAAGUCUUAUAGUAAAAGACUAAUUUCUGUGUUAGUAAGAAGAGAUCCAACUUCGUUUUUCUCAAUACUAAAUGUAGUAAAAAAAAAGAAAGAUCUAAAACUCCUAAAUCUAUAAUUUCAAACUUCUAGUAAGUAAUUUUAUUUUUUUAGGAUAAUUACAGGACAUUAGUCUUGCUGGAGUAGACACUACCGGCCACACUAUAACAUGGGUGAUGACACAUUUGAUUACAAACCCAAGAGUUAUGAAGAAAGCACAAGAAGAGGUGAGAGAAGUGCUUCAAAACAAAGACCAUAUCACAUAAGAAGAUAUAGAACGUACGACUCGAGUAUCUAAAAAUGGUGAUUAAAAAAACAUUAAGGUUAAACCCACCGGUGCCACUUCUAGCUCCAAGAGAGGCUUGUUCCCGUUCUUACACAUUAAGGUUAAACAAGAAGGUCCUCUUGAGGUUGUCCCCGUUCUUACCCAAUGGGCUUAGUUCUAUAUUUUCAUAGUCAAAAUGUAAUGCUGUGGAAGAUCUUCAUAUAUGAAAAAAUAGAGAUUGGAUGCAUAUAUAUAUAUAUAUAUAUAUAUGACUAUAAAUGUAGAUGUUAAUCGAAAUUUUAGAGCAAUCACAUUUUAUUUCAGAAACCUAAUAAACAUUACCUUAUCUUGAAAAAUUUGGCAUUAUUCGUUUGUGUGGACACAAAUGUUACUCUUGAAUCUUGAUCAAAUAAACUUAUCUUGAAAGACAUCCAUGCCACCACCACAUCCAUUUUGAAAGAAAGACUCGGAAAAAAUCUGUAUUUGUUGAAUUCACGUACAAACUAUUUUAUAGAAGAGACAAUUAUAAAUACAAGUUUUUAACAUUAUAUAAGUAAAAAUCACUAUCCGAGAACAGAUUCGUUUGCACCUUUGGAUGCGAAUAAAACUAUCAUUGUAACAUUCUCCAUCUCUUCCUCUAUCCAUCUCUUUGGCACGAGGCUUAAGAGUACUUGAAGGUAAUCCUACCGAUCUCGGCGUCUCUAUCUAUGAUGUUUCAAUAUUGUAGGCAAACCCUUAAAUUCUCAAAUACUUUACUAUAUCAUGUGUUCUUUACUAGUUCGAAUGUUGUUUGUAUGUACCUUCGAUCGUGUAAAGACAUGUAGGAUUCUUCAUAUAUAGGUUUGCCUAGUUACGACAA